rnacentral:lncRNA from 1 species
GUGCAGCACACCAGCAUGGCACAUGUAUACAUGUGUAACUAACCUGCACAUUGUGCACAAGUACCCUAAAACUUAAAGUAUAAUAAUAAUAAAAUAAAAUAAAAUAAAGAGAUUUACAUGCAAGAAAAGAAAAGCACGUAAAAAGGUGUGUUUUAAUGUCAUAGUGAGAGAUAUUAUAAUUUAUAUAGUUUAUAAAAUGUGGAGAUAACUAAUACAAUGUAAAGUGAUAAAUGAAACAUAGAUUAAAUUCACACAGUGCUAGGUUUUUGAAAACAUUUUAUUUUAACUCAACUUGUGUCUAAAGUAUAAUAUGGUUGCAUGAAAAAAGAAAUCUAAUGCAGGAAGCAUCUUGUCCCCUGAUAUUUUAGUAGUCACUUGCUGAAUUACAGUCUUGUUACUUUGGGAAACACUAAUAUAUAAAAUUAAAUUAUUAACCAACUAAAAUAUGAAUAAAUGAAGGAAAAUUGUAGAAAGCCAAAUGGAGAUUACCUAUAUGAUAAAACUUUAUUUAUUAUGUUUGAAAAAAGUAGAAAUAAGAAAUGCAUAGAUUUUAGACUUGGUGUAUAGAUCAGUAGCAUGAACUGUGAAGGAUGAGGGUCUCAAAUUCUGUUUUGACUCUCUUGGUGAGACUAGAUUCACAAUGUAAAAGGUAGAACAAAUGUUAGUGAGAGGAAACCUCAAGCAGAUGAAGGCAUUGUAAUGUGGUAUCCAGAUACUCCAAAUGAAUAUGUAUAUUUAUGAUCAAUUAGUUAAAAAUUAAAUCUCUGAAUUAUUUUUGUAAUCUUUGAGAAACUAUGGCUACUGGAGGAAGAAGAGGGAGAAGGUGAACUCCAUAAACUAUAAAUAGGCUUAGCGUGAAAGACUGCCACUGGCUAUCUUAGUCUUGUAUUUCCUUUACCAUCCAUGGUACCAGAGAAGGAAGAGUGUUUCUCUUUAUGGCCUCAGCAAAAAUUCUGUGGAAGGUGUUGAUUGACCCGAUUUGGGCCAUGUCCUACAAUCAUGGAGGCCAGAGCCAUUGGAUAUUUCAAUUGGCCGGGCUGAGAGCUACAGAACAUCCCUGUAGUGAACAAUGAAGAGAGUAAGAGAGAAAUCAGAUCCCAACUAAACUACAUGGCAUGUUUACACAUAAGAAAGGAGGGCUUGGUUGACAGGUGCAUGGAGGAGCACAAGUGAAAAGGCAGAUUGAAAACCAUAGAUGCCUCACUGUGCUUCACCGUCUACACUGUUAGUAAGGUUCAAUGUGAAGCCCUAUGCUAGGAUCCAAAAUUAAAGUUAAAAACAAGAAAAUGAAAGAAAUAUGCCUUUACAGUGAAACACAUACAAAAGAAGAAGAAAAGUUUAGCGGCUGUAAACUGGAUGCAUGAAGCCUGCAGUAUGUCGCAGCUAGGAAAAAACAAACAAGCAAACAGGAACAAUAGCAGGCAAUGCCUACAUUAAAGAGGAAAAUAUUUAGACACAGGACACCAUGGGGGAAGCACGAAACUCUUAUUUCUUCAGCUCACCACAAACAGUAGAUGUGGUGGCAGGAUCUCUAGGAAAGAGCUAAAAUUCAGACAGAACUUACUAUUCAAAGAGGAAUGGCCAAGAUGGCAAAAAGACUGGACACGAGGUCCUAAGAGUGAACAAUGGGUGGGUGGCUGAGUAGUCGAACUGGACAUGAGGUCCUAAGAGUGAACGAUGGGUGGGUGGGUGAGUAGUCGACUGACGCUGGAGACCAUGACUUUUGGGUGGUAUGAAGGAAGAAUCUGAUCCAAGGUUGGGAAUUUUCACCCCAAGUGCUGUUGGGGGACAAGCGGGCAAGAGAAUUGAGGGACUCACAGAAGAAUGCCAAGAGUGCUUCUCCUUGGGGUUCAUCUGUGGAGGAACUGAAGCUAGGAGGGGAGGACAGGGAAGAAAUGAGGCAAGGAAUUGCUGAAUGAAGUCCACAGUUCUGGAGUCCUGGGAGGAAGAGAGUGGGAGGUAGAGGAAAAGGCAGGGCAAGCCAGAGAUUUUUGGGUUUCAGCUGAAUAUUCCAAAUGUAUAAUAAUUUUAAGAGUGGUACCAAGGCCAAGAAUGCAGUCAUGGAAGUGGAUUUCUGAAACACAGUAAAGCGAAGACCAGGUUUGUUGGAAUCUUGUUAGUCAAGGAACUUGGAUAGAAGGUCUUAACUGGGUGGACUUCCUCUUUGGUGUUAAAGUCACAAGACAAUGACUGGAUUUAGGGUGGAAAAACAUGACUCAGAAGCUGAAGUCCACAGUGACUUGAAGCCAUGUCCAAGAGUUUGGUCCCUGACAAUGCAAAGAAAAAGUACAUGAGGGUGUAAACUGUGAGCAGCACCUCAAAGGAGAAAGAUCAAUAUGAUGUUCUAACUAGUACUUGAGCAACUGAAUUUCUUUUUUCUACACUGAUAGACUUUUAAAACUUUAUUUUCAUUUAAUAUGAACAUCAUAUAGGGUAUAUAAAAAUUAAAACUAAGAGACACAUUGGCUUUGUAAAUCUAUGUUUUUACAUAAUGGUUUUGUUAGAUUUAUUCUUCCAUCAGUGAAAACAUUUCUUAAACAUGAAUUCCAUUUCCAUUUAAACAAUUUGUAAGCAAAGUCCAGGUCCGAUUAGUUUUUGGAUAUAUUUAAUAUUUGUCUCCUGAAGUUUGUCUUCAUGUACUUUAAGAUAUUGGUUUGUCUUUCCAUGUUUUAAAUGCACGAUUGUAUAUCACAUAUUUUGUUCAUUGUUUAAUAAGAGAUAAUGUCCAUCUAGGAAAUAAAUAGAUUUUAUAAAAUUUUUUUAAAAAGUGAGACAAUAGUCAUGAGUAACAAGGGGGUAAGUUUCCUAGAGCCACAAAUUUCAUGGCUUAAAACAACAUCAAUUUAUUCUCUUACAGUUCUGGAGGCCAGAAAUUUGAAAUGAGUCUUAUGGAGCUGAAAUCAAGCACAAACCAAAGCUGGGCUUCAUCUGGAUGCUCUAUGAAAGAUUCCUUUGCUCGCCUCUUCCAAUUCCUGGUGGUUGCUGGCAUUCCUUGCAUUGUAGACUCGUCAUCCCAACGUCUUCCUCCUUGGCCCCAUUGCCUUCUCCUCUCCUGUGUGGGCAUCAUCAACUCUCCCUUUCCCUCCCUCUUAAAAGGAUAUGAAUGUGACUGCUUUAGGACCUACCUGGAUAAUUCAGAAUAAUCUCCCCAUCUCAAGACCCUUAACAUAAUCACAUAUGCAAAGAACUUCUCUUUUCUUUAAUCAUAUGAGUUAACAUGUACAAAUUUCAGAGAUGAGAACAUGGAUAUCUUUAGGGUGCCAUUUUUUCAGUCCAUUGGAAAUGGUAGAUGUGGAAGAAGAGGAGCUAAAAUUCAAUCAGACUAGGGGUCUGCAAUCUGUAGCCUGCAAGUCAGUGCCUGUUUUUGUAAAUAAAGUUUUAUUGGAGCACAGCCAUGCCAGUUUUUUUGCAUGUUGUUUAUGGCUGCUUUCCUGCUACCUGGAAGAGUUGAGUGGUUGUAACAGUAACCAUAUGGUCCUCAAAGCUGAAAAUGUUUACUGUCUGGCCCUUUACAGAAAAAGCUUGCCAGUCCCUGGGUUAGAUCAAGAAUGUGGCAAAUCAUACUGGGGAGAUUAUAAGGUUUUAAUUUAAAGUUCAGCAGCAGACAAGUGAGGGUAAGAACUUCAGUGGAUGAAAAACCUACAAAAUACCAGUAGAUUUUACAGUUAGACUUUGGUAGUUUUGGGUAGACAUAUUUCAUUGAAAUGGUGAAAGUGGAAAAUAGAUAUUAAGAAAAUCCUAAGGAAAUGGAUAUUAGUAAAAUAUUUUGCAAUUUAC